CAGUAGCCACGGUAAUACGAAGGGUGCAAGCGUUAAUCGGAAUUACUGGGCGUAAAGCGUGCGUAGGCGGUUUGUUAAGUCUGUUGUGAAAUCCCCGGGCUCAACCUGGGAAUGGCAAUGGAUACUGGCAAGCUAGAGUGUGUCAGAGGAUGGUGGAAUUCCCGGUGUAGCGGUGAAAUGCGUAGAGAUCGGGAGGAACAUCAGUGGCGAAGGCAGCCCCCUGGGCCAAUACUGACGCUCAUGCACGAAAGCGUGGGGAGCAAACAGGAUUAGAUACCCCAGUAGUCCCUGUCUCUUAUAC
rnacentral:rRNA from 1 species